GCCUGCCCAGUGAUAGUUUUUUAACGGCCGCGGUAUCCUAACCGUGCAAAGGUAGCGUAAUCACUUGUUCUCUAAAUAAGGACUAGUAUGAACGGCAACAUGAGGACCACCUUGUCUCUCACGCUAAGUCAAUGAAACUGAUCUUCCGGUCCAAAAGCCGGAAUGUGCCCACAAGACGAGAAGACCCUGUGGAGCUUCAAAUUGCACCUCACCAAAAUCUGAGCCUGCAAUUUUUGGUUGGGGCGACCUUGGAGCAAAACAAAACCUCCAAAACAUCUAACUUUCAGGCCGUCACGCCGCGAGACAAUUAAACCUUUCGACCCAAUAUAAUUGACUAAUGAACCAAGUUACCCCAGGGAUAACAGCGCAAUCUUCUUUUAGAGUCCCUAUCGACAAGAAGGUUUACGACCUCGAUGUUGGAUCCGGAUACCCCAAUGGUGCAGCCGCUAUUAAAGGUUCGUUUGUUCAACGAUUAAUAAUCCUACGUGAUCUGAGUUCAGACCGG
rnacentral:rRNA from 1 species